AACGAACGCUGGCGGCAUGCCUAAUACAUGCAAGUCGAACGAGAUCUUCGGAUCUAGUGGCGCACGGGUGCGUAACGCGUGGGAAUCUGCCCUUGGGUUCGGAAUAACAGCGGGAGACUGCUGCUAAUACCGGAUGAUGACGUAAGUCCAAAGAUUUAUCGCCCAGGGAUGAGCCCGCGUAGGAUUAGGUAGUUGGUGGGGUAAAGGCCUACCAAGCCUACGAUCCUUAGCUGGUCUGAGAGGAUGAUCAGCCACACUGGGACUGAGACACGGCCCAGACUCCUACGGGAGGCAGCAGUAGGGAAUAUUGGACAAUGGGGGCAACCCUGAUCCAGCAAUGCCGCGUGAGUGAUGAAGGCCUUAGGGUUGUAAAGCUCUUUUACCCGGGAUGAUAAUGACAGUACCGGGAGAAUAAGCCCCGGCUAACUCCGUGCCAGCAGCCGCCGCAG
rnacentral:rRNA from 1 species